GGAGAUUUAUCUGCAGAUAGGUUGCCACCAGGGAGAGGGAUAUUCUCCCUCAUCCCUCCAGUUUCCAUAGGAGUGAGUCACUCAUCUUCCUGCAGCAGGAGGAACCCCUCCCUUUCUUGGGGAGUCCUCUGGGUUGGCGACCUUUCAUCCGUAAUAAUGAAGCUGCUGUUUUGGAACACAGUGCCAUACUUCUUCCCGUGUCUAUGGCUGGGGACCCCCAGCACCACGGUGAUCCUAUGCACCACUCUGGGUCUGUGUUCUGUGUCCCACUGAGGCCGUGGGGUGAUGGGAACCAGUCAGACCAGAGGGAAAAGUUGAUGGUCACCACUGGGCAGGGCUCACCGCUCGUGCUAACCAGCUCAACACAGCUCCAGGGCAGCAUCCACGUGUACCCACAGCUCUGCAAUGAGGGGUCUGAGGUCAUCUGCCAUGCUCCAUCCUGGUGACCCUGCUGGACUCACUCCCCUCAACCUGCUGCUAAGCAGCCCCAUAUUGGACCCAGUGCCUAGAUGGGACAUCACCAUCACCAAGCAAAGAGCAGGAAUCAAAGCCUGGUGAUAUUAGCUGCCCCCCACUAACACCACUCAAAGCACCGUUGGCUUUCAGCGCUGCAAACACACUCCAUCGACCCGAGGACAGCUUGCACCACCUCUCUUCACCUUCAGAACCCCUUUCCAGCUGACUGCUCCAACCUGACCAGUUCCACUUGUCCUUGCUGAACCCAUUUCCUCCAGCAGCUUCGUCUGCAACACAUUGCCUGCCCUCCCCAUCCUGGUGCUGUUCCUAAGGCAUGAUCCGUCCCACCGUGCAGGUGGUAAAGAGUUACAGGUGUUGUUAAAGGAGAGCUUGACGGUGCCUUGGUCCUCCAGCCCUCCGUGGAGCGUGCACAAGGAGGUCUCAGAAGUGCUGUCAUGGUGGGACAUUGCGUCUGCAGCCUGACAUGGGGUUAACUCUUUGCCUCCCCUCCCCUCCCUGCUGUCAGAUUUCUUUCCCAAGUAAUACAUUGUGGAUCAUCAGCAGGUAGGAGAGAGUGAAAAUUGCUGGGAGGUUACACAAGGGUUAGGAUCUGGGUCAGGGUCUGGGUUGGGGUUAGGAUCAGGGUUAGGGUCAUGGUUAUGGUUAUGAUGAUGGUUAUGUUUAUGGUUAGGAUUAGGUUUGGGAUUGGGGUUCAAGUUUGGAGUUAGGGUUGUGGUUAGGGUUAGGCUUGCGGUGAGGGUGAAGGUCAUGGUUAGAGUUAGGACUGGUGUUGGGGUUCAGGUUACAUCAGGGUUAGAGUUGUGGUCAGGGUUAGGGUUAGGGUUAGGCUUGGGGUUGGAUUUGGGGUUAGGUUUGGAUCAGGGUGAGGUAGUUCUCCCUGCCCUCUGCUUUCUGAGCUUUUUGCAGAGAUCCCACAUUGCUGCAUUGCUUGGGUAGGGGGUGCCCACUGUCCCACAGCAUGUUAGGGUU
rnacentral:lncRNA from 1 species